CUGAUUUUAGAUAUCUCCAAAGAGAAGGCUCAUUUGGCUGCUGUUCAGGUUAAUGGACCUGUGUUGGUUGAAGACACUUGCCUUUGUUUCAAUGCCUUGAAAGGUCUUCCAGGUUGGGCCUUACAUGUAAGUUCUAUUUCACAU